GCAGAGGCUCAGAGCCACAGGAGAGAUUUCUGUGGGGCAAUAACUAAUUUCCUGAGAUGGGAGCUGGACUACUUGAGA
rnacentral:miRNA from 1 species